rnacentral:lncRNA from 1 species
UUGUGAUCAAAUAUACUUAUUUUUAAAACUGUAUUACUAAACUUCAGAUUCUACUAUAGAAUGACUCAAUUCUGGGUGACUUCAGGGCUAGUGUCACCUACUUUACAUGCUCCCAAUUAACUAAUAUUUAAAGGUAAGAGUCUCACACAGAGUAAUUUACUCAAUAUUUACAAAAUCCUCCAACAGCAUCUGUCUGACUCCUCCAGAAGCCACAAAUCACACUAAUAGCAGUGGCCCAGAUGCUGAGAGCCUGGUUGGAAAUGCAUUCUCCCCAUUCUCUGCUCUCCCUGCACUGUGGUUUCCUUGGGUUUCCCCUUCUACCAAAUAGACUAUGGGCUCAUCAGUGGGGGGAGAAGAGAGACACUCAGCCUCAAGGCUACUGAGCUCUAACUCCUCAGAGUAGACUGGUCAUUAGCUAAAUGGUACCACAGCCUGGCUUGUAGAUUGACACCCGACUCUGUCCCUAUACUCCAAGGUUGACCAUUUUGAUUACAAUUUCUCAAAUGACUACUAGCAUGAGAAUUCAUAAGACCGCAACUGUAAGGAAAUAAAAUAGAUGCAGAUCCCAAUUUUACCCUGCUUAGGAGAUUAGUUUUAUUAGAUUGAAUGGAAUGAAGUAGAUGUUCUUAUAGGUCAAGAGCAACCACAUACUGGCAAUUUCAUGUGAUUCAAGCUAUACUCAGAAAUCCUUCAAUUCUAGAUUCUUGUUCUUCUCACCUUUUUAUCCUGAAGCCAGUUGGGUCCCUGCUAAGUUCCUCUAGCUUACCUAACAUAAACAUUCAUUGACACCUUCCCUGAACCAAGGACUGAGCAAAUAGAUGCUGAAAAUAAGGACAGAGGGAAGUCUGUCCUAGCCUUUGAGGAGCUCAUAGUAUAAUAAGAAAGGGAAACUUUAAAAACAUAAAUGAUCUGUUUGGUGAUAGAAAUAUGUCUGAAGUGUUAUGUGGCAUCAAGGAACAUCAUACUUGGAAGUGAGGAAGUUUUCUUUUUCUUUCUUUCUUUCUUUUUUUUUUUUUUUUGUGUGACGAAGUUUUCAAAAAAAAAGAGUUGACAUUUGGAUUGUCCUUGAAGGAGAUGUAAGAUGCCCUGAACAGUCCAUCAUGAUAUCAAACGCUAGGGUCUGGGAGGCAGAGAAAGAGACUGAAUGUUCUGGGGAAGGGCCGAUAACCUGAUAGGGCUCAAUGAUAGGAUGCAGGGAGGUAAAAGGAGAUUGGUGUCAGAUCUUAAAUAAGUAGGGCCAUUUUCUUCCUUUAUAAGUAAGUACGUAAGCCUAUAGAAACUACAGAAAAAUUUCUCAUCAGGGGAAGUAGCAUUUUUUGAAAUAUAAUCUUGCAAAAUUUAAAAAGGCUUGUUUUUAUUCUAUGACUGAUGAGAUUAGAAAGGAAGAAUCAAGCAAAAUGAGUAGGAUGUGUAGGCUUCAAAAAAUCUCUUUGCUGUUUUUUCUACCUACAAAAGAAAUACAGAUUCACUUAAAGCAAUUCCAAUGUUACAGAAAUAUACAAAUAGAGACCUAAUGUUUUCUGUAAUACAAGCUCCCAGAUCCAAGCCAGUGUUACCAUACCAUUGUACUGGUAGAGAUUCAUUUAGACUUUUAUUUCAAUAUGUAAACCAUCAUAUUAGUAUAAUUUUAUCCAUUCUAGUAAAUAUAGAACUACCUCAUUUUUUUAAUGGCUGUGUAAUAUGUUGUUG